UACGUAGGGGGCAAGCGUUGUCCGGAUUUAUUGGGCGUAAAGAGCGUGUAGGCGGCCAGGUAGGUCCGUUGUGAAAACUGGAGGCUUAACCUCCAGCUGUCGAUGGAAACCAUCUGGCUAGAGUCCGGAAGAGGAGAGUGGAAUUCCUGGUGUAGCGGUGAAAUGCGCAGAUAUCAGGAGGAACACCGGUGGCGAAGGCGGAUCUCUGGGCCACUACUGACGCUGAGGAGCGAAAGCGUGGGGAGCGAACAGG
rnacentral:rRNA from 1 species